GACGAACGCUGGCGGCGUGCUUAACACAUGCAAGUCGAACGGAAAGGCCCUGCUUUUGUGGGGUGCUCGAGUGGCGAACGGGUGAGUAACACGUGAGUAACCUGCCCUUGACUUUGGGAUAACUUCAGGAAACUGGGGCUAAUACCGGAUAGGAGCUCCUGCUGCAUGGGGGGGGUUGGAAAGUUUCGGCGGUUGGGGCUGGACUCGCGGCUUAUCAGCUUGUUGGUGGGGUAGUGGCUUACCAAGGCUUUGACGGGUAGCCGGCCUGAGAGGGUGACCGGCCACAUUGGGCCUGAGAUACGGCCCAGACUCCUACGGGAGGCAGCAGUGGGGAAUAUUGCACAGUGGGCGGAAGCCUGAUGCAGCAACGCCGCGUGCGGGAUGACGGCCUUCGGGUUGUAAACCGCUUUCGCCUGUGACGAAGCGUGAGUGACGGUAAUGGGUAAAGAAGCACCGGCUAACUACGUG
rnacentral:rRNA from 1 species